CCUACGGGUGGCAGCAGUGAGGAAUAUUGGUCAAUGGGCGCGAGCCUGAACCAGCCAAGUAGCGUGAAGGAUGACUGCCCUACGGGUUGUAAACUUCUUUUAUAAAGGAAUUAAGUGCGGCACGUGUCACUUUUUGAAUGUCUUUUAUCAUUCAGGAUCGGGUAACUCCGUGCCAGCAGCCGCGGUAAUACGGAGGCUCCGAGCGUUAUCCGGAUUUAUUGGGUUUAAAGGGAGCGUAGAUGGGUUGUUAAGUCAGUUGUGAAAGUUUGCGGCUCAACCGUAAAAUUGCAAUUGAUACUGGCAGCCUGGAGUACAGUUGAGGUAGGUGGAAUUCGUGGUGUAGCGGUGAAAUGCUUAGAGAUCAAGAAGAAUUCCGAUUGCGAAGGCAGCCUACUAAACUGCCACUGACAUUGAUGCUCGAAAGUGUGGGUAUCAAACAGGAUUAGAUACCCGAGUAGUC
rnacentral:rRNA from 1 species